rnacentral:tmRNA from 1 species
GGGGGCGACACGGUUUCGACGGAAGCUGUCGCGACCAUGAGGCAUGCCGGGCGCCACCUGCCCGUAAUCGGGUGGAAACGAAAACUGCCAACUCUGAACUGGCACUUGCAGCUUAAUUAAUUAAGCCGCACGCUUCCUUCGGUUUCGCCUGCGGGCCGGAGAUGAAGCGUCAUACAGCAGGCUGGCCGCGGCGUUUCGGUCCGUAAUUCCGCAGCGAGAUCCAUCGGACUAGCCGGCUGCGUUUCUUGCUCCUUCUAAGCGCAGCGGGCGAACCCAAACCGAACGGGGCUAAGCAUGUAGUCUUCUGGCCGUUGCGCUUUUCGGACGGGGGUUCGACUCCCCCCGCCUCCACCA